UCGAAAUUCUAGCCUAAUCUUUCAUCUAUUUUGGGUUUUCUUUUCUUCAAAACGAGAUUUAAAGCUAUCGACCAGAUUUCUUUUUUCGUCCUUAUCUCUUUGUAAGUAUCUAAUCGAUUUUGGGGUUUGCCUUUUUAAUUUCUGAUUUCGUCUUCAACUGUUUGUUCAAAACGAUUUUGGGUUUCGGGCAAUGACAAUUUUUUUAUCGAUUUCGGUGUAUCUUCUCAAAAUCGAUUUUAACGAUGCCAAAUUGGAGAAAUAA
rnacentral:lncRNA from 1 species